rnacentral:rRNA from 1 species
UGGCGGCAUGCCUUACACAUGCAAGUCGAACGGCAGCACGGGAGCAAUCCUGGUGGCGAGUGGCGAACGGGUGAGUAAUACAUCGGAACGUGCCCAGUAGUGGGGGAUAGCCCGGCGAAAGCCGGAUUAAUACCGCAUACGACCUACGGGUGAAAGCGGGGGAUCGCAAGACCUCGCGCUAUUGGAGCGGCCGAUGUCAGAUUAGCUAGUUGGUGGGGUAAAGGCCUACCAAGGCGACGAUCUGUAGCUGGUCUGAGAGGACGACCAGCCACACUGGGACUGAGACACGGCCCAGACUCCUACGGGAGGCAGCAGUGGGGAAUUUUGGACAAUGGGCGCAAGCCUGAUCCAGCCAUGCCGCGUGCGGGAAGAAGGCCUUCGGGUUGUAAACCGCUUUUGUCAGGGAAGAAACGGUCUGCAUUAAUACUGCGGACUAAUGACGGUACCUGAAGAAUAAGCACCGGCUAACUACGUGCCAGCAGCCGCUGUAAUACGUAGGGUGCGAGCGUUAAUCGGAAUUACUGGGCGUAAAGCGUGCGCAGGCGGCUUUGCAAGACAGAUGUGAAGUCCCCGGGCUCAACCUGGGAACUGCAUUUGUGACUGCAUGGCUAGAGUGCGGCAGAGGGGGAUGGUAUUCCGCGUGUAGCAGUGAAAUGCGUAGAUAUGCGGAGGAACACCGAUGGCGAAGGCAAUCCCCUGGGCCUGCA